AGAGUUUGAUCCUGGCUCAGGAUUAACGCUGGCGGCGUGCCUAACACAUGCAAGUCGAACGAGGUAGCAAUACCUAGUGGCAGACGGGUGAGUAACACGUGGUCAACCUACCCUCUAGUGGGGGAUAACUAGCCGAAAGGUUAGCUAAUACCGCAUAACACGUUGAGCGGCAUCGCUUGACGUUGAAAGGAGCAAUCCGC
rnacentral:rRNA from 1 species